CGCCCUUCCUCCAAUAGGCGGAGGGGAGGAAAGUCCGAACUCCGCAGGACAAGGCGCCUCUUAAGAGGAGGGUCUCGCUAAUUGGUGAGAACGGCAAGUGCAGCAGAAAGUAAACAUCUCAGUCUUGUAUUGAGAAAUAGGUGAAAUGGUGGUGUAAGAGACCACCAGUAUUUAUGGAAACAUGAAUAGCUGGGUAAACCCCGCCUGGAGCAAGAUCAAGCAAUCCAGUGUAGUUCGCACGUUACGGAUG
rnacentral:RNase_P_RNA from 1 species